GGCCGUGUUGCGAUUACCUCAGUGGUUUAUAAUUCUUUACCUUCCUAUAUUUACUUAAUUUCAUUUCUGGUGCUUACAGUAAUCACACUAACAUAUACAUAUCUAAUUUGGGAUAAAUCAGAUUAUAGGUAUAGCUUGUCUUGGGCAACAUAAGCUUGUUUUGUGUAAUUUGAUUGAUUGGAAAAGUAGGUGCUUAGGGUGACUAGAUUAAUGGGUUUGCAUCUAUUUAACGUAGUCCUUGAAUUUCUUUUACAUGAUUAUUUUCAUUCUGCACAGCUUGGAAGAAGCGUACAGAAGAG
rnacentral:misc_RNA from 1 species